GAUGAACGCUAGCUACAGGCUUAACACAUGCAAGUCGAGGGGCAGCAUGGUCUUAGCUUGCUAAGGCCGAUGGCGACCGGCGCACGGGUGAGUAACACGUAUCCAACCUGCCGUCUACUCUUGGACAGCCUUCUGAAAGGAAGAUUAAUACAAGAUGGCAUCAUGAGUCCGCAUGUUCACAUGAUUAAAGGUAUUCCGGUAGACGAUGGGGAUGCGUUCCAUUAGAUAGUAGGCGGGGUAACGGCCCACCUAGUCUUCGAUGGAUAGGGGUUCUGAGAGGAAGGUCCCCCACAUUGGAACUGAGACACGGUCCAAACUCCUACGGGAGGCAGCAGUGAGGAAUAUUGGUCAAUGGGCGAGAGCCUGAACCAGCCAAGUAGCGUGAAGGAUGACUGCCCUAUGGGUUGUAAACUUCUUUUAUAAAGGAAUAAAGUCGGGUAUGGAUACCCGUUUGCAUGUAC
rnacentral:rRNA from 1 species